ACUUUUCCCAUGGUUACAAACAAACAUAAAUGCUUCCCAGAAUCCUCCGAGCUCCUCGUGGCUGCGGUUACUACCGAUUGCGAUUGCGGAAUGCAACAAGAGAAUGUCAUCUUUUAAUCCCUGUGAAAUGGUAGUUGGGUCAACAGCGAAGAGUUCCUGAGGUAAAUUCCAAAGUUCUACAAGAUAAUUGAAAUGCAUCCAACAGUCAGGAUUAAGCUUCUAAACUUUCAGAUAAACUCCCAAUGCCAAACUGAGGUGAUGGCAUGCGAAACUCAGAAACUAAAAGCAAAAAUCUCCAUGUUGCGAAAUGAGGUACGAAAGCAAAGCAAGCAAGCCUUUACUCUAGACGGGGUGCCUGAUUUCAGUCCCAGCCAUUUUCAAACCCCGUGACUUUCUGCUCAACAAAAGGAACCACAAGUCUCUGCCUCCUAGGAAUUCUUGGAAAGUGACAGAAUGCAUUUAGUGUCCAAGAAAAUGACACCUUGGAAGAGUCCAGUCAUACCCGUACCCAGUAUUUACUCACCUGGAUACUUCUCAGUCACCUUUUGUAAACGGUACUGCUUGUAAAAGGCACUGGACGUAUCGACUUCGUAUCCCAUUGCCUCAUACAGUUUCAGUUGCCAUUCAAACCCCUCAUUCACUCUGCAAUGAUAAGCAAGUAUGAAGUUUGGAUUCUUUCGAUUAAGAAGACAUGAAGAAAGGAGAAGUGCUUACAGCCAAAAAGGAAGACCCUAAGUUGGCCUUUGGCCAAUGGAAGUGCAGGGACACACACAUGCACACACACCAUACACACAUACAUGUGCACACACACAUAUACCAUACACACACCAUACACACAAACACACGCUCAAAGAGGAAAAAGCAUUACUGGGACUCCAGAGGACUCACUUAGCCUCUGGCUUGACUGUCCGGAGGAUGUCGUAGGCUUUUUCAAAGGUAAGCUGGUCGGUCUUCAUUAUAAAAGCCAUCACUACAGCAACACUGCGACUGACUCCUGCAUGACUGAAAAAGAGACCUUCAAAAUAAAACGGCAAAUAGCAGCAAUUAAAAACCACACCAGGCUGGGCGUGGUGGCACACGCCUUUAAUUCCAGCAUUCGGGAGGCAGAGGCAGGCAGAUCUCUGUGAGUUCGAGGCCAGCCUGGUCUACAUAGUGAGUCCAGAGUGACCAGGGCUACACAGAGAAACCCUAUCUCAAUCAAUCAAUCAAUCAAUCAGUAAACAAAAGACAAAGCCCAGCUGCCUGCUAAUGGUAAAGUUUAGGUCCACCUCACUUCUCUCUGAGUCAUGACAAUCCCUGAGUGCUGGGAUUGCAGGUGAGGUGCAGUGUGCCCAGCUCAUUUCUACUUCCAUUCAAGUUAGCCCACUGCCUCUUAAAUAAGGUCAACACACAAAAGGAGUCAAUUGUUGCCUGUUUUCCUUUUGAAUUCUGAAUAAUAUGGAUGCAUUAUCUAUUCAACAAGAACUGCCUUAAAUGUUUUAACUGUUGUCAGGGCUCCUUGGCUCUGAACUUCAAGUUGUUCCAGAUCUGAUUCCGCACUUCUUAUCACUACCUCCUGUCCUCGUGUGGAUCUUUAGAACUGCUGGCACACAGAGAGCGUCCAACCAAGCGGCUCUGUCGGACUCCAACAGGACCGCUCUGGAAUCCCCAAACACCUACUAAGAUUUCCUAGCCUUGUGGUUUUGCUGCAAUAUACCUGUCAAUGUCC
ensembl:processed_transcript Gm9929 predicted gene 9929